AAAGUUUGGGGGGGGGGGGGGGGGGUUGAUUAAAAAAAAGGCUCAUGGCCUACAUCAAUGGUUCACAUUGCACAUAGUGAGCACGUUGAUCUACCAUUACCCCUUUGUGGGAGAGUGGACGUCAUAAUUUGUGUUAUAAGGGGUACGCGUCCUCGCCGCCCCCGC